AGAUUGAACGCUGGCGGCAGGCCUAACACAUGCAAGUCGAGCGGUAGAGAGGUGCUUGCAUCUCUUGAGAGCGGCGGACGGGUGAGUAAUGCCUAGGAAUCUGCCUAGUGGUGGGGGAUAACGUUCGGAAACGGACGCUAAUACCGCAUACGUCCUACGGGAGAAAGCGGGGGACCUUCGGGCCUCGCGCCAGUAGAUGAGCCUAGGUCGGAUUAGCUAGUUGGUGAGGUAAUGGCUCACCAAGGCGACGAUCCGUAACUGGUCUGAGAGGAUGAUCAGUCACACUGGAACUGAGACACGGUCCAGACU
rnacentral:rRNA from 1 species